UAGAGAAAGAAGGUUGCGGGUAGAAGACUCCAUACUUUCUGUGACGCCUAUUCCUUAGCUUGUGAUGAAUGUUUUCUCAGUAUCCUAUGCUGAAAACAGGUAGAUACUAAUCCCUCCUUCAAGGGAGGGCUGUUGAGUAUUGAAUAAGAUAAAAACAUGGAAGCAAUCAGCACAAUGCUGGAAUCAAGCCUAUCUGUAAUCACAGGGCUAUUUGAAAAAGAGAAGAAAAGGUGUCUUGAAAUUAAACCAACAUGUUUCAAUUAUUUGCUCCUAAGAACAACAGAAGUUUCAACAUUCUGCCAACACAGUAACUCCUGGGAGAUUGGCACAGAAGAAGGCACAAGGAGAGCUUUUAUAUAACCAAAGAUAUUUUUGGACCAUGAAUUCGGAAAUUCUCGGAGCCACCCAUCAAUGCCUGAGCUUCAGUGAGUCCAUAUCCCAUGUCACCUACGGCAAAGGAGAAUCUGAGACUUCUGAAGAGUUUCUUGCUUCUUUCCUGUGGGGCAGUGACUCCACUUCCCAGCAGUAAUGGAAUAUCCUGAAUUAGCUACAUUAAUGUUAGAACCAUUUGGACCUCACCCAGGACUUCAACUACAUUGUGGUAAGACAAAGCCAGAGCUAGAAGGCAAUAAUUUCUUCCUUCUGGCUCAACAGUACCUAUCUUGUAGAGUUAUUUGAGGAAUGGUUGUAUUCUUGAUGUUAUAAUUAUUAACUCCGCCCACAUACCGAC
rnacentral:sRNA from 1 species